GACGAACGCUGGCGGCGUGCUUAACACAUGCAAGUCGAGCGGAAAGGCCACUUCGGUGGUACUCGAGCGGCGAACGGGUGAGUAACACGUGAGUAAUCUGCCCUUGGCUUUGGGAUAGCCACCGGAAACGGUGAUUAAUACCGGAUAUGCACUACUUCUCGCAUGGGUUGUGGUGGAAAGUUUUUCGGCCAGGGAUGUGCUCGCGGCCUAUCAGCUUGAUGGUGAGGUAAUGGCUCACCAUGGCUUCGACGGGUAGCCGGCCUGAGAGGGUGACCGGUCACACUGGGACUGAGACACGGCCCAGACUCCUACGGGAGGCAGCAGUGGGGAAUAUUGGACAAUGGGCGGAAGCCUGAUCCAGCAACGCCGCGCGAGGGAUGACGGCCUUCGGGUUGUAAACCUCUUUCGGUAGGGACGAAGCGCAAGUGACGGUACCUACUAAAGAAGCACCGGCCAACUACGUGCCAGCAGCCGCGGUAAAAC
rnacentral:rRNA from 1 species